GAAAGAUUACAGUGAGACUCUUCUCCUCCUGUUUACACGGGCACAGACGACUGCAAGAGAAAGGAAAAUGCUUGAUGGAUGUUGGUUCCACCACAUCAUAGGAUGUAUCUCAUACAAAGACAAAUACAUCUUGUUCCUGACUUACAAAGAGAUGAUCAAGUCCUCUGUGCCUGUGUAAAGGAGGAGAAGAGUCUCGCUGUGAUCUUUUCCCUUCUGCAGACUCUCUGCCCUGUACUGUAGAUAAACA